UUUAUAUUCCAGCAGAUUUAUAAAUUCCAGAUGAUUUUAGAUUUAAAGGAUUACAUAGAUAGAUUGAUAUUGACCCAUGGAUCCAAAUUAAUAUUUAACGAGGAAGCUAAGCUAUAUUUUGAAUCACUUUUAUUGCAAAUUUUGAAAAAAAUCUCUGUAUUUAAACCACAUUCUUUACAUGAUGUUCAAAACAUCUUAAAAAACUAUUUCCCAA